rnacentral:rRNA from 1 species
GGAUAACUCCGGGAAACCGGAGCUAAUACCGGAUAGUUCCUUGAACCGCAUGGUUCAAGGAUGAAAGACGGUUUCGGCUGUCACUUACAGAUGGACCCGCGGCGCAUUAGCUAGUUGGUGAGGUAACGGCUCACCAAGGCGACGAUGCGUAGCCGACCUGAGAGGGUGAUCGGCCACACUGGGACUGAGACACGGCCCAGACUCCUACGGGAGGCAGCAGUAGGGAAUCUUCCGCAAUGGACGAAAGUCUGACGGAGCAACGCCGCGUGAGUGAUGAAGGUUUUCGGAUCGUAAAGCUCUGUUGUUAGGGAAGAACAAGUGCAAGAGUAACUGCUUGCACCUUGACGGUACCUAACCAGAAAGCCACGGCUAACUACGUGCCAGCAGCCGCGGUAAUACGUAGGUGGCAAGCGUUGUCCGGAAUUAUUGGGCGUAAAGGGCUCGCAGGCGGUUUCUUAAGUCUGAUGUGAAAGCCCCCGGCUCAACCGGGGAGGGUCAUUGGAAACUGGGAAACUUGAGUGCAGAAGAGGAGAGUGGAAUUCCACGUGUAGCGGUGAAAUGCGUAGAGAUGUGGAGGAACACCAGUGGCGAAGGCGACUCUCUGGUCUGUAACUGACGCUGAGGAGCGAAAGCGUGGGGAGCGAACAGGAUUAGAUACCCUGGUAGUCCACGCCGUAAACGAUGAGUGCUAAGUGUUAGGGGGUUUCCGCCCCUUAGUGCUGCAGCUAACGCAUUAAGCACUCCGCCUGGGGAGUACGGUCGCAAGACUGAAACUCAAAGGAAUUGACGGGGGCCCGCACAAGCGGUGGAGCAUGUGGUUUAAUUCGAAGCAACGCGAAGAACCUUACCAGGUCUUGACAUCCUCUGACAACCCUAGAGAUAGGGCUUUCCCUUCGGGGACAGAGUGACAGGUGGUGCAUGGUUGUCGUCAGCUCGUGUCGUGAGAUGUUGGGUUAAGUCCCGCAACGAGCGCAACCCUUGAUCUUAGUUGCCAGCAUUCAGUUGGGCACUCUAAGGUGACUGCCGGUGACAAACCGGAGGAAGGUGGGGAUGACGUCAAAUCAUCAUGCCCCUUAUGACCUGGGCUACACACGUGCUACAAUGGACAGAACAAAGGGCUGCGAGACCGCAAGGUUUAGCCAAUCCCACAAAUCUGUUCUCAGUUCG